GUGGGGAAUCUUCCGCAAUGGACGAAAGUCUGACGGAGCAACGCCGCGUGUAUGACGAAGGCCUUCGGGUUGUAAAGUACUGUUAUCAGGGACGAACGGUAGGGAUGAGAAUAUUAUGCCUACAUGACGGUACCUGAGGAGGAAGCCCCGGCUAACUACGUGCCAGCAGCCGCGGUAAUACGUAGGGGGCAAGCGUUGUCCGGAAUCAUUGGGCGUAAAGGGCGCGUAGGCGGAUCAUUAAGUCUGGUGUGAAAACUUGGGGCUCAACCCCAAGCCUGCAUCGGAAACUGUUGAUCUUGAGGACAGGAGAGGAAAGUGGAAUUCCACGUGUAGCGGUGAAAUGCGUAGAGAUGUGGAGGAACACCAGUGGCGAAGGCGACUUUCUGGACUGUAACUGACGCUGAGGCGCGAAAGCGUGGGGAGCGAACAGG
rnacentral:rRNA from 1 species